rnacentral:rRNA from 1 species
GUGAGGAAUAUUGCGCAAUGGAGGCAACUCUGACGCAGCCAUGCCGCGUGCAGGAAGAAGGCGCUACGCGUUGUAAACUGCUUUUAACCGGGAAGAAACCCCAGGACGUGUCCUGGGUUGACGGUACCGGAGGAAUAAGCACCGGCUAACUUCGUGCCAGCAGCCGCGGUAAUACGAGGGUGCAAGCGUUAUCCGGAUUCAUUGGGUUUAAAGGGUGCGUAGGCGGAGCGUUCAGUCAGUGGUGAAAUCCUGCAGCUUAACUGUAGACUUGCCAUUGAUACUGGCGCUCUUGAGUGCGCUUGAAGUGGGCGGAAUGUGCCGUGUAGCGGUGAAAUGCUUAGAUAUGGCACAGAACACCAAUUGCGAAGGCAGCUCACUAAGGCGAUACUGACGCUGAGGCACGAAAGCGUGGGGAUCGAACAGGAUUAGAAACCCCUGUAGUCC